GUAGCAGUGACUGUGAUGGUUCCAGGGAGGCACCAUCUGGGAUCGUUGUCACAUCUCAUUUCAUAGCAAGCUCCACAGCUCAAUCCACUGUUGAAUAGGGCAGUACUAAGCGCUGCAGUGUUAGUACCGUACCCUUGGCUAUACAAAUUGCCAUACCCACAAGCACCUCCCAUUGUCCCAGAAGCAUCACCCCCACCGUAGAAAGUGGCAUGACCACCUUGCCACCCUCCAUAGUCCGCAAAUGUGCCUCUAAAACAAAGAUUGAGCACAAAAAGUAGAAGGGAAAUCGCAGAGAAUGCUACUGUGGCCAUUGUCUGUGUAAGGGUGUAUGUUGAAGGGAAAAGAGAAGAGGGGAGAAGAGUCUUAAAAGCUGAG
rnacentral:misc_RNA from 1 species